GUAGGAGGCAAACGUUAUCCGGAUUUACUGGCCGUAAAGCGCGUGUAGGUGGUACUGUAAGUAGGGCGUGAAAGCUCCUGGCUCAACUGGGAGAGGCCGUUCUAAACUACAGAACUAGAGGAUGGUAGAGGGAGGUGGAAUUCCCAGGUGUAGCGGUGGAAUGCGCAGAUAUCCGGAGGAACACCGGUGGCGAAGGCGGCCUCCUGGACCAUUCCUGACACUCAGACGCGAAAGCUAGGGUAGCAAACGGGAUUAGAGACCCCGGUAGUCCUAGCCCUAAACGAUGUAGACUAGGCGUCGGAAGUUUAAUCACUUUCGGUGUCCAAGCUAACGCGAUAAGUCUACCGCCUGGGGACUACGGCCGCAAGGUUAAAACUCAAAGGAAUUGACGGGUCCCCGCACAAGCAGCGGAGCGUGUGGUUUAAUUCGUUGCUACACGAAGAACCUUACCUGGGUUUGACAUAGCAGUGGUAGGGAAGCGAAAGCGGACCGACCCUUCGGGGAGCUGUUACAGGUGUUGCAUGGCUGUCGUCAGCUCGUGUCGUGAGAUGUUCGGUUAAGUCCGCUAACGAGCGCAACCCGCGUUGUGUGUUACAAGUGUCACACAAUACCGCCGGUAUUAAGUCGGAGGAAGGUGCGGAUGACGUCAAGUCAGCAUGACCUUUAUAUCCAGGGCUACACACACGCUACAAUGGUCGGCACAAUAGGUUGCCAAGUCGUGAGACGGAGCCAAUCCUCCAAAGCCGGCCUCAGUUCAGAUUGCAGGCUGCAACUCGCCUGCAUGAAGUUGGAGUUGCUAGUAAACGCAGGUCAGCUAUACUGCGUUGAAUACGUUCCCGGGGAUU
rnacentral:rRNA from 1 species